rnacentral:lncRNA from 1 species
AUGAGUAAAGAAUCAAGCUACAAGUCUCGAUCUAUACGAAAGGCACUUGUUUUUUUUUUCUUUCUUUCGGUUUCAUUGAUAACAGAAAAGACUUACUCUAAAGGGGCGCUAGCGCUUGACUAAUAAGAUAUCAAAGGGGCCUGAAAAAACGUAAGAGGCUGCUACUCUAGGCUCGCUUCGCUUCUUCAAGCUCCGCCCCUUCUUUCAAAAAUCAACAAACAGCGCUAACGAGCAAGAAAGGGGAUGCGCUAAGGCGCAACGGCUUUCGCGCAGCUGCUACGCCCUUGCUUCUUGCCUUAUCUUACUUAGUAAAGCAACCUUUCGCGCUAGGCGCUCACCUUUUUUGUCUGGGUGGAAGCUGGCGGGCAGGGCUUGCUUAACCGGAUACACGGAAUUGGGAUCUCUGUUGCAUGCAAAUCUUUCUAUCGGGAAAGCCUCGCUUAUUCAAAGGGCUUCUUAUUUAGAACCCUUUUUUUUGCUUAGUUGUAAGUAAGCGUUGGUAGGAGCGGCGGGAUGAUGAUGAGUAUAUAAAUCAAUAAAGACCAAAAAAGAAGAAAUGGCAAGAUAAAUUAGAUAUCUAUGGAAAAAAUAACGAUGUAGAGGGCGACUGAAAAGGAGGCUCGACCUACAGGGAGAGUGGUGGGCAGGGAUUCUCUACAAUGACACUGUUGUAGACCAAUGGAAAGGGAUGUAGCGCAGUUUGGUAGCGCCUUUGUUUUGGGUAAAAAAUGUCACGGGUUCAAAUCCUGUCAUCCCUACCUAUUCUUCUCCUCUGGGCAGUAACGAGGGAUCCAUUGAGGUCGAUUCAAAUUGGACAUACAGAUUUUCAUUUUAUGAGACUAUAUGCAUGCAAGAUGUAUUGGGGGUACAAAAAGAAUCCUUUUUCUUUACAGUCGUAUCUACUGUGAUAAGAAAGCGCUCUUAGUUCAGUUCGGUAGAACGUGGGUCUCCAAAACCCGAUGUCGUAGGUUCAAAUCCUACAGAGCGUGAUUUUUUUCUUCUUAGAUCGAAUUAGAAUGAAAUAGAUUCAUUCAGUAACUUUCACAACAAUCGGAAUUUGACCUCCUGUGCCUGUGAAUUAAAGAAAGGAGGAGCUGAAAGCCACUUGACUGUAAGGAGAGGACUUCCAGGGCUCGAUCUACGGCUGCGUCCCGUGGUUUGGUAGAAUAGACACUUCCAAGGAUAGUCUACACACACAAACCCAAUCUCGUUUUCUUAGGGUUAUGGUGGCACUAUGUUUAAAUUGACUUCCCCUCCCCUUCAACCUGCCCCAACUCCCUAUAUUCUAAAAUAGAAGAGUCAAAUAUAAUAAAUGCAGUAAUCCUACCCAUUGUGAGAGGCAUCUUCCACUUUGUAAUUGAAGGGCUCCAAACCUCGCUUCGUCGCUCAGUCCCUUGCUUCUUUCCUCCUCUUUUUCCUUUCCGGCUCUUUAUACCAAUGUGAUUUAAUUCCAGGUGCAUAUUUCAAUUACGUCUUCCAUGAUUCUUAGAUCCAGAGGUAGCACCGGUCCAUCAAUAGCAGCAUCCCUUCCUCUCGCACCCGGUCUAGUAUCUCUUAGGUCGAUAUCCAGUAGCUCCAGUAGCAGCAGAGGGAGAAGAUCGGUAGUAGAAGGUAACGAACUAGAGACUCAGAGAGAGAUCAGAAGCAAAACUCGACAAGGAGAAGGCGGAACCCAGGUGCUACACUAAACUAGGCGUUACCUGGGGCCGCACGACUCAGGCAGACUCUCUACCCGUGCGCGUGCCUAUUUCGCUUUAGGAGGUAUCAGAGCGGAGUUUUGGGUAAAAACCUUUCGAUUUCUGCUAAUUCUCUUCUUGUUGUACCAUGUACAUGACGAUAGCAGUGGAGUGCUGUCAGCGGCGGCUGUUGUUAAGGAAACACUCAAGGAUCGAGUGACCCAACUUGAUGGCAAGGUCGACCAUUUGGACGGACAAGUGUAGACUAUGGCAGAAAGGCAGGGGAAUCCGGAAUCGUUGGUCACCAGACGCUCGCUAAUGAGUACCGCGUCUUCCCAGUGAAGUAGAGCCGUCUUCAUGGGGCCUCAACGAUCCCGGUGGCGAUGUCCAAAGCGUGACGGACCGGGUCAAAUUGAGGAGCUUGCUGUGGAGAUAGGUUUCCGGUUCGUGAACCGAAUGUCUCACCUGGCGACUCCAGACUUGAGUCCCGGAACCACAGCCAUUCAACGGGAUUCGAAAUGCCAAGGCUCGAAGACCUCUGGGACAUGGAACAGUACUUUAAGGCUGUUCGUGCCCCUUUCUUUUGACGACCAAGGCACAAUGGCAACAAUCUAUCUCUCUGGGGAUGCGAAGAAUAUUUGAAACGACUUUCGAACCAUCACACGGAUUCCGACCCAACUACCGUAAGAACAGAAUGGAAGGGCAAAAAAGGAUUCUAUGCGCAGACGUGAAAGCUCUAUCAAUAGAAAGAUUCUAGCUUAUUUUUUUUUAGAGAGGAAUGAUUCCCUCGUCUGAGAACCGCCAUUCACGUACUAUUCCUCCCCACUAAAAAGAGCGAUUGAGAAUCUCGAGAACCUAAACAAAAAUGCAGAAGUGAGCGUACCCUAAGGCUCUCCUCUCUCCCCCUUUUUUAGCCAACACCAUCAACCCCAUUUUUCACUGGGUCAAAGCCAAAAAUAUGAUGAAUAGAAGGAAAGGAGAUCAGAAAGAUAGGCGAACGACUUGACUAUAGUAUAGGUCGGAUGUUUCCGUGAGCAGUAAGCAGCAGAUCUCCCCUUAUUUUGGGAAAGCUGGUGGCCGCGUGUGAAUUCUUUCAAGGCAAAGGGCGGCCUGAUUCGACAUUGUUGUUUACUCUGAUCCGGUCGAGGUGGUUUUCGUUUACCAGCACGUAGGUGUUCUAAAUUCCUAUGACCGAGUCUUUCUGGCCCCUGUGAACAUCUUUUCUUAAUGUAUUAAAGAGGGCCUCUCUAACCGGUGAAAAGUGGUGGGUGUCCACUAAUGGCCAUUCCUGGCUCGGCUCCGAUAACGCAAUUCCGGGAGGAGUCGGUAGUUGGGCACUGGAUCCCUUCGGACCUGGAGAAUGUGUGACGCUGGGUCGGGGUUUGGUGAACCAACGGGUCGCUCCUCUAGUUGAAGUAUCGGGCCCCUUUUUCGUUGCCUAGGUUACACCUUCGGAAUACCCCAUAAGGGAAUUUUUUCUACUCCCCCCAAUCUUCACUUUACGCCACGCCGACUCCCCUUUCGUCAUAAGGCGUGGAAUUAGACCAAGGGGAAUCUCUAUAGGAACUAGUCCCUUAUAUUUCGCACAUAGGAGAUCGAGACACAGCCCCAGGGCUAUGGGGAAAGAUGUAGAUCGAUCGCCCUAGAUAGACAACUACAUAGAGGGCCUCUACCAGUCUAUAUAUUCUUUGAUUUCGUUCCCCCCGUAAGAUAAAUAUUACAACCUAUGAGGUCUGCAAGUUUCACAUCUAAGUAAUACCCGAUCCGAUAGUUUACGAUAUAGAUAGAUAGAUAUAUAUUUCUAAAGAACAUUCUAAGAAAAGAUAUUAAUAGAUAUCGGUAGUUGUCCGGUCGUACCCAAACAAUAAUAUUCCAGAGGGAAAUGCACCUAAGAUCAAAUAUUUCGAGCCGGCUUCCGUAGAAAAUUCAGACUUUCUUUUUGAUGCUGCGAUCACAUAAAAACAUAAACUUUGAGGCUCAAUAGCUAAAUACAUGGCAAUUGAAUCAUAAGCCGAGAUCAUAAAGAGCAUACCGCGAGUAGGAAGUGGAAUUAAUACAAUGGAUUCAAAAGCAUCAAACCUCUCUUGUUCGAAAGAAUUGAAACACAUCGAAAUGGUACCAGCCGUACUUAAUAAUAGAAGGAUUUGGCAGAAAUAUGUAAAAUUGUCCCUCCUAAAAAGAUUAUUCCAGAAUAAAUGGGCAAUAGUUAGGAGAGGUGCGCCAGCGGCGAGCAGAAGCAAGGUUAUUAGAUACCUCAGGAAAGCCCGGCCAGAACCACACGUGCAAGUUUCCCUGCAUGUGGCUCGUCCGUGAUAACUUCUUCGGAUUUGCGUGAACUAGCGGACCGAUCACUAAGUGGGGAUGCUCCCUCCAGCAUGAGCGAACCCUUUCGGAACUGGUUAAGAAUGGGCGCCACUAUCCCAGCCCGGAUCCAGCCAGGUUCUAUUGAUCAUGUCCCCUUCCCAACAGUUGUACCUUGUCUUGGGGCGUCUUUGGCUUUACGAUAGAAAGCUCGCCGGAGAAAGCCAGGUGCCGUAGGUAAGCUCUAUUUGGCCCGGAGCAUUGAUUUCCCAUAACGAAUAGGCUAGCUCUAUCUCUCAAUUACCUAUCCUGUGCUCGAGAAGGUCCCUCAGUUCCUCGGCAGCACCUCGAGGUGCAUUUAGUUGUCUUACAUGAGACGAGGGCUAUUCCCCACUCCAUGGCAUGACACCUUUCGCUCAUCCAUUCCGCCCGUCCAGACGCGGCGCCCUUUCUCAUUAUCAUCUACCGCCCUUUCUUUCCUCCCGGCUAUUCACGCAUGAAGAUCGUCGUAUGUAUGCUCGACUUCGGUUGCCGGUGCUAUAAUAGGUAGAAGUACAUUAUGGCAGGAUCAGUCACCCGGGCAAACAACCCUCCUCCAAGAAGAAUUGUGCUAUGCCCCCCCGAUCCCUAUAGAGCGAAAGAGCUGCCUGGUGAUCCCUAGGUUGCAGCACGUCCGGUCGUUAACUCCUCGCGCCGCUGCCGCCGUUUCUAGGACCGACCGACGCCUCACCUGCACAGGUACCUACGUAGUGUAGUCUCGGUCGCACAUUCAACAUAGCGUUCGGACUCAUGUGCCUUCCAGAACCAGGGGUAUUCGAGCCUGCUGCGUACGAUUAGCCAGCCUUGCGGCGGCAAAAGGAUUAGACGUCCCCCCAUGCUACGGUUCCCUGCGGUCCAAACCCGGUGCCGCUUUAGGUUAGGGAGCUGGACGAUAAUAGCCCCUCCGCAUCCCAAAGCGCGCUGCCCUCCUAGGCGCGCAACACUAAGUAAUCCAAGCCAACCCACAUUACUGACUAACGGUGGAUAAUCAUAUUUCUUAGAGGUACUAAAUACAACUCCAUGAAUGAGCAAAAUGAAGGUUGCAUUAAUGAUAAAGAUCUCUGGGGAAACCGCUAAAAAAAGAUUGAACAUGUGGGAGGAUCCGAACGAAUUCUGCUUUCAUUUCCCCCGUAUGGAGCACUGAGUUACUUACGUUACGGUCUUCAGCAGGCAGGCUGCACUCUAGGCGGCUAGGAAGGCUCGCUAGACCAGCAGCCAGACCAAGAAUGAAUGUGUAAUGAUGGUGAUUCCACACCAGGCUCAAUAAAUAAUUGAAUGUAGAAAGGGGAUCCUAAACUAAAAAGGAGUCCAUGACCCCCUUUUAGAGCGUAUAAGGGGAGGUCGAAUUCCAAACCCUUUCUCUCGAGUAUACCCAUUACCAAAAAAUAUACGUCACUUUGGGACACAUGCGCAUAGCCGCCGCGCGUGGCUAAAAGUCAACCAAAAAAAAGAGCCCAAACUCUUUUUUUUUUUUAGUUCCACUGAGAAAGUCUUUUCUUAUAAAAGACGCCACUCUACGAGGGAAGAUGCAGAUAAAAGGCCAAUAGCCUGAUGUCAGCUUCUACGGCAUAAGCUUUAGAUCUAUCAACGAAUAAUAAACAUUUCAUAAGAAAAGAAUAAUUUGGAGUUUCAAUCUCAAAGAAAGGUAUAGGUUCAAUUUUUCACAGUCAUUUCAAUCUUUUUCUUCCAAUUCUAAGAAAGAAAAAUCCCGAAAAAUCCGUCAAUAAAUGACGAACUCCAUUAUACAGAUGAUAGGACAGGGCUAAGGCAGUAAUCUCGACGGAGAUUAGGAUGAGCUUUGAUGAAUAAAAGAAGAAUUGGUAGAAAUUCUCAUAGGUGAAGCAAAUCAAACCUAUUUUCAGACAAAGAAGAUAAAAAAAGAAAACUAUAGUGGCUAGGAAAGCUCCGGAGAUUCUAUGGGAAAUUGAAAACGUCGAAGUAAGCUGUGGCUUAUAAAUAGGAAGAUGAGGAGAUAGGGGGCGAAGGAUAUUCAUGAUAUUCGGAAAGAUUUAUGUUAAUUCGCUCUGCGAGCAGAGCGGUAUACCGAAAAAGAGAAGCGACUACCUUACUUAAGCAAUUCUUCUUAUUCUUCUUCUUUCUUAGUUGAAGUUCCUAUAUUGGUUUUUUCUUUCUUUUAUGAAUGUUAUAACUCCUAAUUCUUUGGUAGCGGACCUCUUUGAUAGUUCGACCGUUAUCCCCCGUCUAACUCAACUAUUCGACUGUACGGCUAUUGUGAUUGCGAGUCGAAAGGAAUGGAAUAGGAGUGAAGUGGGGAUCACGAACGGUCUUAAGUGAGUUUGAAAAUCGACUUCUUUAUUAAAAGAAAUAUCCUUCCCUGCGCUCACUCUUCCAAGACUUUUGCUCGUAGGUCAGUCUAUUCGACUUUUUCUUGCAAAUCCUCUCUUUUCCGCUUUCUAAGGAAUGUCAAGCCUGUCUGUUUAUGAAUCCUCUGUUCAUGAAUCGGAUGUGCGAUGGGACCCCUUCCUUGAUGAGGAUUGCUAAAAUCUUUCUUUUUUAAUGAAAAAGACCGGGUUUCUAAGCUCGAUGUGGGAAGUGGAGGUUCUGGAGACAGGCUACCUGAGUCAUGUAGCUCGUUUAGAGCAAUAAGGAAUUCAUUCUAACAAAUAAGAUCUAUCGAGUGAGGGAUAUAGAAGCUAAGGCAAGCAAUCAGUACACGAAUCCCUUCCUCUAGAAGGAGUGAACCCGACCACUUCACGCUGAAGUUCAUACUCAUACUGAUCUACGAACCACCCUUCUCUUUGAUUUGUCCUUCCUGACCUCUCUUAAGCCUUUCAACGAUCGUUUAGGUAGCCUCCUUAGGACUCUCAAAAAAGUAACCUGGCCUGAUACCUAUUCACUCGCCUGGCCCACUCGUAUCCAUCAUAUAUAAUAUGCCCGACUAUCGAGGGAAAUCCACCUCUUAGAUAAAGUCUUCGAUCGCCUGAAGAUGGCACAGAAAGACAAAAAGAGCAAAAUCGAUAUAAGAUAAGACAGGAUGUCAAAUUUAUCCCAAUUUCGCUUUCUACCACUCCAUGGAAGUAAGACUAGCAACUAUUAUAGGGCCCUCCUCCUAUUAGGGCAACUACUAAGACUGGCUCGCCGAGAUCGACAGGAAAGACAACUAAAACUCAAACUGCAGGAAAGAGAGAAAGAGGGGGAACUAGAUGAGCUUACUACUCCAACUGUAACUGGAUCGAAAAGAGAGUGGACUGAGCAUCUUUCCAAUUUCAAAGAUCUAUCAAAGCCCAUUUGAAAUGAAGACCCCUGCUCUGCUUUCAAACUUUCCAACUGCAUGUGAGUAAACUCCUACUCGCUUUAGGGCAGUCUAACCCACAGGCUGCAAGCACCAGCUUGCUGGCAGAACGAAAGACUUGAAGCGGAUAGCUGGAAACUGGCAUUUCCACUAGAUAUAUCUCAAUGGCUGCAAGGGCUUACCUUGGCGCUCCUACUGUUAGAACCCCAACUGACAAGGGAACUCAAGUGGAAGACCUUAACACUUCCACUGCCCGAAAGCCUUAUCAUUGGAAGGAAACUGCACGAUUAGCAGUGAAUAGGAUCAAUCCUCCAUAUUCUUCUCUUCGGCAUAACUGGUAAGCAGCAUACUACAGCAAUAGACCAGUCCACUAACAGCGGUAUACAGUAAGUCAGUAUAAGUCAGUACAGGAAGGGCACGCGAAAUAGACAACUACUUACUAGGCUAGGGUAGUCGUUUUUUCAUCUUCCCUUUAUUUUACUUUACCCUAGUGGAAAUUCUUUUUUCAAAGUUACUAGGUAAUUAGUGAAGAGGUUUAUAAAAGUGACAAGCUUGGUGGAAAGCUCUUAUCUUAGGAGGAAAAGCUAAGUAUGCCCGAGUAGUCUUGAUAUUGGUUGGUUUGAGGUUUCGUUAGUUUUAUACUAACAAGCAAGCUUCGGCGACCGCUCGACCUAGCGCGUUAGCCCCAGUACUAUAGGGAAGGCCUAUGCGAAGAAAAGGCCUGCCCAUCAUCAAAGCAAGCCCAAGUCCAUGCAAGAAGGCCCUCCAGAUCUGUCCAAAUUCAAAGCCCGUCAAAGGCAUAUGAAAUCAUGCAAAGGAUCCGAGCCCAUCCAAAUGAUGUUCAGCGGGCUAAACCCAAGUAGCUCUGGCCCAUGAUCCAAGAGACCCGAAACUCGUUCAUCAUGCUAUCCUUACCUUCUAACUAACCUCUUCGAUUUCGCUUAUCCUAACAGUGAUUGAUUAGGCCUAACUGUUGAAGCUGGUUAUGCAAAGGUUGUUCACACAGGCAGUGUGGCUUCACUUUGUAGUUAGUUUGCUCAUUAAACAGGCAUGUAUAGUACUCAACUGCGGAAAACUCAUAAAAAUGGUGCCUAUCAUCAAAUUCGUGCCGCAUGGCGGGAUUACUCUACUUCUACUCUAUAAAUAGAAACUCGAUAAGCCUUCGAGCUCUAAAAUAAAAUAAAAAAUUAUUAUUAUGGCAGCUCUUGCAGUUUCAGAAAGGCUUUUUCAAAUUUCACAAGAAAUCCAGGAAAUCGAGAAUGAGCUGGGUCAACGCCGAUUUGCCUUAAGAGCCUUUUUGAGGCACCUGCGUCCGGCGAGCCCUGCCGUCGUAGGAGACCGCAUGCGCGCGGCAAAUGAAAACAUAAUGCGCCUCGAGACGAGACGACAAAUGCUGCGAGAUGAACAGCGAGCGCUCAUUGUGCAGGCUGUCACCCUCGGCGACCGGAGAGACUAAGAAAGAAUAUAAUAGUUACAGUCUCUUCCGUUGUGGAAGUUUAUUUACAGAAAUAAAGGAGUUCCAUAUUGUACUCCCUAUUUGCUUUUCUAGUGCUACUUUCCUUGAAAUAAAGAUCGUUGAUAGCCAUAGCAUUUUCUCAAUAAAGAAAGUGAGUAGCAGUGUACUGCUGAAUUGAACUUUCUUGUAUAUUGAAUUGACAAAUUACUAAUGCCUUAAGCUCGGGAUAUAUAUAUAAAUUCUUGGAAAGAUUAUAAAACUCAUGCAGUCACCCCUUAUCUUACUUACUCCAUUUCUUUUGUCAGGAAUAAUGGCCUUAGAUAGCGUUUAUCUUAUCUUUCAAAAGACCUUAAGCUCGCUAUAUUAACCUAUAAAAGUCUUCCGCUUUCAAAUGUUAUCUUUCGCAUGCCUUACGAAAAGCAUUUCAAAAGUGUCAUUUUUUCUGUAUUUUUGGUUGAAAAAGCAAGAGGAAAUGGCACAUUAUUAGAUAAAUAGUGCAGGCAUGUGUUGCACUUUUUUCGAAAUCGAAAGAGCUCUUUUGAGGGGCGCAGCGGAAUUCAUUCAGAAAGCAAGACAGAAUAGGCUCUUACUGCUAACGAAAGAACUUCCCUUAAAUCAAGAUAUUAGCUGUGGGACUUCGGUGCCUUAAGCGGAAGAGGGGAUUUCUUUCUGGCUGCUACGCUCCUUUCUUAUUCUCUUAUUCUUUUUUUCUGUCUCUGAAGUGAGUGAAGUCAAGCUAGCGUCAGCAAAUCGGACAUAAGCAAUACACCCCGUCCUUUAGAAAGACGAUAGCGAUUCUCUUCCAGUGCUUUAAUUAAGAGAAAAAAUAGUAACCUAUAAGAAGAAAUUUUAGGAAUACCCGGAGCCUAGCUCUAUCGGAACUUACCUCAGCGACUUCCUAUCGGCUUCGAGCUAUUAUGCCCCACUAAUGAGGAAUAGGCAACUAAAUCGAAGUCUUCAUUUCCGGCUUUCGUAACUCCCAGGUAACUUCACCCUAAGCCUACUAUACCAUCUCCCGCUUCAAGGGCUGCUCUGCUCUGUCUGAAGAUAGGGCUUUUAGUAUAAUAUCAAGACUGACCUCCUGCUUCUGACUAUGACUGAUUUGCUGAUGUUGAGUUCUAAAUGCUCUAGCUUGAUUCUCAACUCUUAAGAGGGCCUUUAAAAAGACUUAGAUCGAGGAAUCUCAGCAAACAUAGGCAUUUAGCUCAGAUUACGCAUCUCCGACUGAAAACUGAGGAGCGCAGCAAGAGAGUGAAAAUCGGUAAGAAAUUACUUGACUUCAAAUCAGUCAAUCCUAAACAAAAUAUACUGAUUACAGGCUCUACUGAAAUACUGAAACGAAUGAAAUCGAAGUCAAUCUUACUCAAUCCUGGAAAUAGGAGUCGAAAGCCAAUCAUUUGAGAUUGAUGCUUAGGCUUCUUCCUUAGCAAAGAGAAAGUAAGAAUUUGAGAUUUAUCCCUCUAACUCAAGAAAAAGAGCUGCAACUAUUUCCUCAGUCUGACUUCCGUGGAAGUCUAAUUGAUUUCAUUCCUAGGUAGAAUUGGGAGUUGAAAGCCAAUAGGAUUGAAGUCAGAUUCUUUCUCUUUAAAGUUACGAUUGUUCGAAGUUCAAUUUGAUCCGGGUAAGAAGACCUAAAGGCGGCCAAAAGGUUCUUGGGUUUCUUACGCUUUUAUCUCUGUCUCUGCUGUAACUGCUAACAACAAUAGCAAUUUAUCUUCCUUUCUGGCUUAGCCUGUUGCGUAACCGAAUGAGUGUAACGAAAAGAUACGUGAGUUGAACAUAAAAGCUCUAUACUUUACAAGCAAGAGAUUGCUUCAUUCAGGACAGAAAGUUCCUACAAUACUAAAAAAGGGAAAGCUAAAGCAAAAGGGCCAAGAAAACCCCUGCGAAAGCGCAUACGAAUUAUUCCUUGCGCUGCAUUAUCGUAUAAUAAGAUAAAGGCCAGUCACUUCGACUCCUUAAAUAGUGGCAGCAGGUCUUUAUCCUUCGCUUUGGGGUUGAGUUUACGUGCCAUCUUCAGCCUACCUAGGAAAGGGCUACCUUUUUAGUAAAGCAUUUCCCCCGGAAAUAGCCUUAGCUGGAUUUCUUUCUUCGUAGAAAAGUGGCAACAAGCCUUCGUAUAGGGCCAGGGCCGCUUAGCUGCAUCCUUUAGCAUCCUAUGGGCCUAGGUCAGUCAACUUUUUUUAUUAUAAUAAUUUGGUCUCCUGCCCCGGGGCAUUCCUUUAGUAAGUAAUCCGUGCAAAUGAGGGCCUAAGGCUAUUCCUUGCUGCGGAGCUAGCAUUCACACCGCUUUCCUCAUGUCAGCAAGCUCGGGGUCUAACCUCAUCCUAAAACGACUUCUCCAAGCCGUAGACGGAAGACCAAUAAUGAUACAUCCUUAGCUAUAGCUAUGGGAAGAAGUACGAUGCUUGUAGCCAAUUCUACCUCUUAGCGAGGGCUUGACAGAGUUCUAAUAGGGGAUUCCGGUAUAUCGUAUAGUUGUUUAAUCUUGCUUUUAGGAGCGCUCUUUUCAUCCAACUCUUUAUUGAAUAAAGAAAGAGAUUGAGGAGCGUAGGGGCUUAUAGUUUAAUUGGUUGAAACGUACCGCUCAUAACGGUGAUAUUGUAGGUUCGAGCCCUACUAAGCCUACCUUUUCACCUCCGGUGGCUCAGUCAAAGUACCCAAGAUCUAAAUCUAGCGAAACCACACUGCUGCCGCUGCCCUUCGGGCAAUACGCGAUGCAGCCGAAUGAGUUUCACUUGAAAUGAGUUGAUAAGUGUAACGAAAAGAAAGACAUAGGGAAUAGUUCAACUCAUAUUUGAGAUACGUAUCACUCAAACCUACGUAUCUUUCAGUGAAACUCCUUCCUUCGUUCACUUCAAACGUCGUAUUCUAUACGUAAUGAAAAGAUACGUAUAGAGAAACUCAUUUCAUUGCCAAAGAAAGCCCUUUGCUGAGAAGGUAUCACACGAGGAUAUCUAAAAGAAAAUAAAAGAAUGCAAUAGAACACCUUUUCUGACAUCAGGAGAUGAAAGCUUCAAGCCAAUCGGGCGGGCGUCGAAUGAAAUAGGUAGCCGGGUUCUCUUUCUACAACCCUUUUGAAUGGAUGAGUUUAGAAGGCUGCCGGAUAAGUAGAGCCUUUCAAAGAAUUGUUGAAGCAGCCGGGCAUCCACGUAGGACCUGUUGCGAAGUCUUCCCUACUCAAGGGAAUAGAGCGAUUGUUGCAAUCAGAGAAGCCAGCCCCGACUGUGCAUCGAGAAGUUCGUCUAAGCAUGAAUAUUUUCUUUUAUGGGGAACGUCGAUCUCUCUCUAUGGCGUAGAUAGAUAAACCCGAAGCUAGUCUUGAUGGACAAGAAAUGCCCGCUCCGCUACUAAACUCACUUGGAGAAAGCAACUAGGUCCCCAAAAGAAAGGGGCAGGAUAUCAACUCAUUUUUCCCAUUGCAUGCGACAACUAGUCGAGAAAAAAGGGAAGAAAGCCUAAGCGAGCGAGACAAGAAGGAAUGUUGGAGCUAUUCCCUUAGUUGAGUCCUUGCCUCUGGCUUGGGUUCUUAAGCAAUUGGGCGGAUUAAUACUGUAUUACUGUAUCAUUCUGGGCAAGACAGUCGGAAGCGAGCCAAAGGGUCGGCUUACUUUCUGGAAGAAGUAGCUGCUACUGUGAUCAUAUCUGCUGUUCGCAUAUCCGCUCAAGCAAGCCUGUCCCAAGCCGGCCAAGCAGUUGCUUUGAAUCGGAUGUGAGGGAUUGAAUUACUUUAGUAUAUUAGUAUAAAUAUAUCUUUCCCGGGGAAAGAAAUGAUAGUAGCUUGUUGCACGGUCUCUCUAUUGAUUUAUAGUUUGAGGAUUCGUAAGAAGUUGGGGUCGAUUUCUUUCUUUGUUGUUGAUAUCCUACAGAUAUUAUGUUAUUAUGUAUUUCAUCCCUUUGUUUUGUAGAUUCAUUAUGUUAGUGCUUUUAUGGGAAUGAGUUGAUAAACGAAAUGUUCCUUAUUCCCUAUGUUUCGUUACUUCGUUUAUCAACGAAAUGAGUUGAACAUAGUGAAACGAAAUGUUCCUUAUUCCCUAAUCCCUAUUUCUUUCUUUUCGUUUAUCAUAAUAGCAACGAAUACGUAUCUCAAAAGCAUCAAGUUCGGAGGCACCACCUGUAGCGAAUCCAAACAUACCCAACGCCCCCUCGUCUGCCGCUGAAACCCCCCACUCUGAUGCUUCCGGCUCCCGAGGCAAAUCAGCCCUGGACGAAAGAAAGGAGGAACUUAUUCUUUCAAAUAUAAAACGAUCUCGGGGAUGGCCAAAGAGUUGCGGAUUUCAAUGUGACAACCAAUUUGAGCUUAUCGAGGAGAUGAAAAAGGAAGCGGGAGCUAAAAAAGAAGAUUGCCCCGCGACCAAUUCCGCGUUUAAUGGGAUUAGGGAAUACCAAAGUCACGUCCAAGAUGGACGGGGCGGAGGGAAACCUAACGAUUGUUCCAAUCGAGAAGGGGGGAAGACAGGAGUACUCAACGGGGAUAAGGGAUCCCCCCGGGUAGAGGAAGUAAGAGAUGGCUCGCUUUUGGGAGGUAGACUUGGGCAGCAAGCUAUCUGUUGUCCUGACCCGGAAAGCAAAAGUAGCUCGAGCCAAAGGCGACAGCGAGGGGUCGAAUCAAAACCUUUCUUUUCUACGCUUUCUUCUAUUACGAAAUGGAGAGUGUUGUUAUAGUCCUGCUACUUUUAAAGCAUUUCAAGUAGUAGCAUCUCAAGCCAGCAUAAAAAGUGUUUCCAUCAGAUCAGGGCUUUAGGCAAGCUAGCUAGUCAGUGAGCCAGAGAGGGUAGGAGUCACUUGACUUGGAAGAAGAAUUCUCCUAAGCUUGGCACUAGGUGAUCUAUGUGUCAAAGGGCUACUUUUCUUCCUAUCCUUUCCCUUGCCUUGCAGCCUAUGCAUCAAUCCCAUUCUACCGAUGUGUACUUCUUUGGAACAGCUUUCCCGAUCCCAUCAUACUCUUUACCUUUCUUCCCCUUUUUGGUAUUUGCUAUCUUGUGGUCCGGUCCCUUAUUUUUAGGCUUACCACGUGGCUGAUUCCUCUUGCGACGUCUGUUGGGAGGUAGCAUCCAAUAGAUCUAUCUACUAGGCCUUUCGUCGUGGAAGCAAAUGGAAAAGCAAAAGCGGAAACAGCUAGAUCAACUGCCGAAUCAGUCGAACUUGAAGCCUUCGCUCCUAUGUCAAUGGUUGGGAUAGCUGGCUUACCUUCUUAGUUAGGACAUUCAAGCUUCCAGUCUAAUGACUGGACACGACCAACCCCGACUCUCUAAGCCCUCGUCUUUACAGGAAUUGUCGCAGCUGAGCGUAGAUGACUUCCCGCAGAUUGGGCUACUUCUAUUUAUCAAUAUAGAAAGAAGAUCCUACUUUCCCAUCAAGACUAAAAGCGAAAAAGAACCUCUCAUCUUGGGAUGAGACCCUGGAAGCUUUGGCCCGGCAUACUACUAUCAUAUCAGGGAUGAAAGGUGAUCAUUUCUUGUUCUUAGCAGCUAUGGCUAUUCAUUUGAGUAUUCAGGUAAUGAAUAGUCAAUGAGCGAAGGGCGCAGUUACCACAGCUAUGAGUUCAAGCGGCUACCCUAUAGUAGCAGUUCAUUGAGGCUCGACAGACCUGGGCUAAGGAGAUGAUCUGGGUAAACCCCCUUUUUUGGUGAGGUAAGGCACCUCCCACUUUCUGCUAGAGCAAAAAUGAAAGAAAUCGUGUAUGUAAUCCGCCCUCAAAGAGAGCUCAGCUCAAGAGGACUACAUUCAACAGAAGAACGAAUGAAAAAGGAAUUCCUACAGGGAAAGGCAAAUUGAAGGCUUUGGGACAACAUAUUAGAAUAGACAAACAAAGAAAGACAGAGAUAGGGUGCAUCGAAGAAGAUGACUGGUGAUUCUUCACUUCUUUCUUCUCUUCGUUCUCCAUCUAAGUUCCUUAUUGUUUCAACUGCAAACUCCGAAAAAUGAUCCCUCCUUAUACUGCUUGCCGUUCGUUAGCUACUCUAGUUCUCACUCCAAGUAUUCCGUUCGUUCGGACUCUCCAUUCUGGUUAGCUCGGUAGAGUGGCAGGCGAAAUCCGUCUCUCUUUAUAGAUAUUGAGAUAGAUAUUGAGUAGGUAGGCGGCUAGUCACUUCUUACUCGUGUAGUGAGAAAAACCUUAUUUUAUUCUUAGUUCAAUCACGAGUUGAAGGUUUGCGAUAGAUGUUGCCUUUCCUGGAUAAACGAUCUCAAAUCGGCUUUUUUAUUGUUGCAGAUCUGUGAAAAUAAUCGGUUCAUUUGUCCCUGGUUCCGGUUGGAAGUGUCAUCUGUAGCGGGAAUCGAUAUCUGUAUUUGUAUAAAUAUAAGAGAUGCUUUUUGCUUUGUCUUUUAAGCCGGAUCUAGAAUGUAUUGGUAAGGAUCUCUCCCCUGCCUAUUUGUUUGGAGGGUUAUAAUGAUUUUGUGACUUUUUUGGAUUCUUUCUCUCGUCUUACUACUGUUUAUCUGAAAAUAUCUAAGGAUGAGGUUCGUUUUAUCCUUCCUUUGAGAUGAAUCUUCAAAAGUCUUUAUGGUCUGAAGCAGUGUUAACCUAGGUUUACCUGAUUAAUAGGGAUGCUUUCCGUGGUAUUGAAAGGGACCUGUACAAGUGUGAAAUCCUAAUGCUAAAAACUUUAUUCUUCUACCUAAUUUCUAAAUGUAUCGAAGUCCUGGGUAGUAAAGAAAAGUGGGAUGCUAUAUUUCCAGGAUUGGGAUUCGUAAAUAUGUUAAUAGAUUCUUGAUCUAUAUCUUCCAUUUUUGGGUGUGUGUGUGUUAUGUCUAUGUAACCGGGACCUCUCAUGAGAAAUUGGAUCCUAGAGCUGUGAGAUGUGUCUUCACUGGUUAUCCGACAUCACAAAAUGCUUUGAUCCCAUUACAAAAAUCAAGUAUGUCUCUAUGGAUGUUACUUGAUUUUCAAAUCAACCCGAUUUUCAUGACCCAACCAAGAAAACCUUGAGUCAUCAACAAGAAGAACCUGAGUCAAGUGAUCAGCCGUCUUUUAUAAUCCCUAUGUCAUCUGCCCAUAGAGAAAACAAUGCUACUACUCCUCCAGGGGAAGAUGCGGUCAAGACCAAUUAGUGGAAGACAUACUGACCUGACGAGGUAAGAGAGGACUCGUUGUCCCUUAUGUUCCUCUUGUUAAGAGCGAGGAUCUUUCCCUUGAAUUGGGAAAUGUUAAUAUGCCUCAAGAUGAAGAGAGUGAAACUAACCCUGAAACUUCUGAUCUUGAUCUUACGAUUGCAGUCAGGAAAGGGGAAAAAGAGCCUGUACCUAACUCCCUUUGAACUACUAUAUAUCCUAUCCAAAAUUGUCAUCCUCCUACAAGGCCUUUCUUCCUCAUGAAGAAGGAGUAGAGACCUAGCUUUCCUCUGUCUGUUAAAAUGUAAUGCUAUACCUUUUGUCCUUGAGAAUCGGCUGGGUAUAGCGGGAAAGAGUUUGACGAUCUAGUUACAUAUCACAUAAGAUGGGUACUCCCGAUAUUGUCUUGGGAAUUAUCAGUAUAUAUAGUAGCGUACUGGACUCCAUCUACAUAAGUAGAAGCAUUCAAGAAUCACUUGACAGUUCUUAUUUCAAUUUUCCGACUCUCAUCUUGUUAACUGACUUAACCGCAAUACUUAUCCAAAGACAGGACAAGUUGAAAGAGCUUCGGUAGUUACACUUUCUGUCUCGCGUAAGAAAGAGAGUUUAGAGUGCCAUACAAAGAACCUUAGAUAAGGGGAUUCCUCCCAUUGACUGAAGUUCAGAGUCAACCUUCCACACAAGGCAAUCUUCUGAUAGAGGGGAAGAGGCAGAGCACAACCGAUUCUGUGGCACAAGAUGCGCUGGUAUUGCAAAAGCAGGAAUGAGUUCACAACGUUCGAAUAAGCUACUCGACCGACUAAAGCUAAAAGGAGAAAGGGAGAUGACUCUAGUUGUUGAGUACCCUGAGGAAGGUACCGGAUCGACUUCUAGUUGUAGCGGAUCUUACUUACAUCGGUUCUAGCGCUUUCUCUUGAUUCUUUUUUUGAAAGAUCUUUCCUUACCUAAGAAAAGACCUAGAGGAAGAAAAGGAAGCCUCAUAGACUGAAGCCUCUGUUCAGUUCUUGCUCCGGUUGGUUUACGAAUCAAAGGAGACUAACAAACUACAACAAAAGCAAGUGCGCCGGUCGGAUUGACUAAACCAAUGCAACAAUCAAGAAGGCGAUCGAGAAGACAUGAGUUCCCAAACUGUAGUAUAAGUCUUUAUCGCAGAUGUGAGCUUCCCCUCAUCUUACUUCCCGCCACAAAGACAAUAAGAGAAGGAAACCUCUAACAAUAAAGAAGAUGUACUACAACCGCAUACACAUACCCUCGAUACAAAGCAAGAAAGAAAGCAGUCCUCGCCUCGGGUGAGCCCAGAAGUCAAGCAAGAAUCGACUUCACACACUAAGAAUAUCAUCAUUAUCUGAGAAAGAGCUUAAAAGAUCAAAUAAGAUGAAGGAUUUUCCUUUUUUUCAUACUACGACAUUGACUAAGCUAAGAGAAGGAUUUAGGACUGACGGAGAGACUGAGUCAAGCACUAUAGCACAAGGAUUAUCAUUCGCUUGUCUCGAAGAUUCGAAGCAAAAGAACCUUCUCCGCUACGGGGGAAGAAAAGAAUAGACUGGGGUACGGAUUUACUUACUAUUCGACUCGAAGUGGAGGACUACCUAGAUUAGAAUGAGGAUUCAAUAUUUCGUGAUAGUUAUCAUGGAUUGAAAAGGGACGGGCCAAUAGCAACGCAGAAGUUUCAUACAAAGGUGCCUUGAACAGGCGGGGAAAAGACGUUUAAAGCGGAGGGAAAACCAAUCUCAGAAGGGACGGAUGAAAGGGAAAAUUCCUGUGAUUCUUGGUUAGCUGACUAAGAGCGGAUGGGGCGGGCAAGGAGAGCGGCAUUGCUAUAGGUUCGAUUCAUCAAUGUCGGUAUCUCAGUCACAGAUUGAUGUUGUCCUCAAAAUACCCCUUAGUUUUUACUCAACUAUAUCCGUAGUAUCAGGAUUUCGACCACCCGGUCGUUCUUAUGGAUCUCGAUAUGUUUGGCUAACUACGAUGGAAUAGAGCCAUUCUAAGUAGAACCCCUUCUUACGAUAUGUCAGAUAGAGCGGGAUCAGUCACGUAAUAGCCCCCAGCCCUUUCCUUACGAUGAUUCAUGCCUUGCUCGUGCCGUAAGAAUGUCGUAUGCAAAUGAAUUCACUUUUGGUAUAGAAUAAAUGGGCGAAAGCCCGAUGCAGCAACUUGCGAGGGGUUGUGCUUUGCUACUUGCUUAGGUUUCCAUCUAUUGUAUUUAUCUACAUGGGAAUGAAUUCGUCCGUCAAACCCGCCAUUUGUAUGCACCCGAACAUGUUCAAUCGACCUUCGGCGUAAGCGACUUCGUACUGCUAUAGGCUCUAGUUAGGACUUAGAUAUGAACACCCCCCCUUCGUUAGAAUCCACCCUAAAGUUUCUUAGUAAACAGGGAUCGUUCAGUAAUGACCUAGUCUUUCGCGAGACUUCAGGUUUACCUCUUUUGUUAGGUCUCGACUUCUCCGUUAUGAUCGCGUUUUGUACCCCUACUAAGAACUUGAGAGACGGAACUAUGACUCACGGAAGCGGUAUAUUAGUGCCUUAUGCGGGAAAUCCUUGCUUGACUUGUUGAUCAUCUAUCAUUACUGGCGAAGCAAGCAUACCGAUAAUCAACUCGCUUGAGAGAACAAUUCGAGAAGGAAGACCCCAAGCCAGCCCAAGCAAGAAAGAGGAACUAAAGUCAACUAAUGCUUAAGACAUCCAAGUUCGGACAUCUAAGCCAGUUCCGGUCCUUCCAUCUGCCUCUAUCUCAAUAGCUUUCAAAAUCGAGUGAUUUGAUUAGCUUACAUCGGAGGAUGGUCUAAAGCUGGCCCUUGCUAUCAGUCCAACCAAGGGCACCCCUUCCUAGUCCGCUUAGUCGGUUGAGUAAACAAACCCGGAUUCUAAUAUGGGUCGAGUAGUGAGUUCCACUUUCUCUUCCGCAGCAAGCCUAGUCUACUUUCGUAAAGUCAACAAGGCCUUACGUUUACCGUUGUUCCCAGACCAUGGCGUAUACCACCAUAGCAAUAGCAUAAGAAGAAUCCGCAUAUUAGUAGGGAAUGUUCCUAACUCCUAACCUCUAGACUGAAACUUCACCUGAAAGCAAGGCUUGAGAGCAAAGGAACCCGCGCAUUACACUACCAAUCCUUGGGCUUGGGCUUUACUUAUUCUUAUUUACAACAAAGGAAAAACCCAGCCAAGUUCUUCUAAAGUCAUUCUUUCUGGCAGCUAUCUAAUACCGGUCAAGAGCUGCCAUUGGACGAACUUUCAUCAAUUCUCUUUCCGGUUUGGUUUCCAAGAGGUGUCAACCAUAAAAAAAGAUCCUGUCCUUCAAAGAUCGAUCUGAUAAUUGCUUAAGUAAGGUAGUCGCUUCUCUUUUUCGGUAUACCGCUCUGCUCGCAGAGCGAAUUAACAUAAAUCUUUCCGAAUAUGAGGAGGAAAGUGAGAUCGUUGUCCGAUCUUUAUCGUCGAAUCCCCAAAUGUGCAUCUUCGAGUGUUUCAGCCGAUCCCCAAUCUCCCAGUAUCAAUAUUUCGGCUGCUCAAGCCGGUACAGGUACAGAAGUGGCUACAACGGAGCAGCUUACUCCUGAGAUGGAUUUACCGAUUGAACUAGAUUUACCCGCCCUUUUCACCUUUUUUCUGAAUUAUGGAAUUGAAGUUAUCUAAAAAAUGAACUGACAAAGCGUCUGUUCACGGAGAUUGUUGUAGUUUCCGUAGUUGCAAGAAUUUCUCACGAUUGGGUUGGUGUGAAGUCUACCGCCUGUCUAGCCUAUGCUUUGCAUGAACAUCUCAAUGUCCAAGAUAAAAGAACGAGGGGAAGAAUCGACGAGGCGAGUGUUCUCGAAGAGAAAAUCGUGAUGGAAAAAGCGUGAGGAGAAUUCGAAACUCGAGAUGUUAGAAGGUGCAAAAUCAAUGGGUGCAGGAGCUGCUACAAUUGCUUCAGCGGGAGCUGCUAUCGGUAUUGGAAACGUCCUUAGUUCCUCGAUUCAUUCCGUGGCGCGAAAUCCAUCAUUGGCAAAACAAUUAUUUGGUUAUGCCAUUUUGGGCUUUGCUCUAACCGAAGCUAUUGCAUCGUUUGCCCCAAUGAUGGCCUUUUUGAUCUCAUUCGUAUUCCAAGUUCGUUAGUAAUCGUUUACGGUGGGUGGAUAAGCAGGAAGGGAUCCCUGUGGUUAGACUAACUGGCCGAGAAGGCUAGUGAGGUUCCUGCUAUGGUGAAGUGAAAGAUCUUUCACUAUAGUGGGAAGAAGACAGGUGGGAGCGACGAGCGAGAGCGAGAGCAAAGCAAGUUUCAGUGGUGGGCUGUCUUCGCGGUCCCAUUUUAGACAUAGUAAGAAGAGCAGCAAUGCUGGGGUAAAGCCAUAAGCAUGAGCUUACGCGGACCAAGCUGCGAAAAAGACUUUUUNNNNNNNNNNNNNNNNNNNNNNNNNNNNNNNNNNNNNNNNNNNNNNNNNNNNNNNNNNNNNNNNNNNNNNNNNNNNNNNNNNNNNNNNNNNNNNNNNNNNGAGCUUAUCACUUUCUUGAAGACAAGCUCAGCCUGUUUGGCGAUCCACGCCAUGCUUUUGAGCGAAAUCUUCUUGAGGGGAGUCUUCGCUUUUUUUUUACAGGAGUUUGGAUCAACGGGGUAAAGAUUCCAGUGUUACCAAGAUUUUUUGAAUUAUUUUCUCAAUUCUGAUUGAUUGCCUUUUUUGAUCCCAUGCUUUCCGUCGUUUCAACAACCAAACUAAAUCUAUACCUCUUCACUACUCGUACAGGCUUGACGGAGUGAAGCUGUAUUGAGGAAUCUUUUUGUCUCAAUCAAUCAAGAAUGCCUCAACUGGAUAAAUUCACUUAUUUCACACAAUUCUUCUGUCAUGCCUUUUCCCUUUACUUUCUAUAUCCAUAUUGCAAAAUGAGGAGAUGGAGUACUUGGGAUCAGCAGAAUUCUAAAACUACGGAACCAACUGGUUCACACCGGAGAACAAGAUCCGGAGCAACGACCCAACAGUUUGGAAGAUAUCUUGAGAAAAGGUUUUAGCACCGGUGUAUCCUAUAUGUACUCAAGUUUAUUCGAAGUAUCCCAAUGGUGUAACGCCGUCGACUUCUUGGGAAAAAGGAGAGAUGAUUUAAUCUCUUGUUUCGGAGAAAUAAGUGGCUCACGAGGAAUGGAAAGAAACAUAUUCUAUUUGAUCUCUAAGUCUGUACAUAGCAAUCCUGGGUGGGUCAUCACUUGUAGGAAUGACAUAAUGCUAAUCCAUGUUCCACACGGCCAAGGAAGCAUCGGUUUUUAAUCUCAUUAUGACUUGUUGUUCGGAAGAGCAAUUAAUUCGAUCAGAAUAGUGGAAUGGAAGGCAGUAAAAGAAUGAAAUACUCCUUCUUUUCCAAUCGCCCCGCGAAGACAGACGCUCGGAAAGGUUCUCGAGAUUCUCAAUCGCUCUUUUUAGUGGGGAGGAAUAGUGCGGGAAGGGGCGAGACCAAGCCGAGCCACUAGUAGAGUAAGCCCUUCCCACGUGUCAAGUUGAAUAUAAAUAAAUGAAUGCAGCCUCAACCAGAGAGAUCAACCUGCGCCUUUGAGUUGAGGCCGCUGGCGGCGCAGAACGAACUAAUCCGCGACCAGCAAGUUUUCCGAAAGCGAACUGAAUGGAAUUGUUACUUUCCAAAAAUCUUGCUUCAAAGAAAUAAGGUCUAUUUUCCCACGUAGUUCGUCGGUCAAACCAACGAUUCUCUUCUCAAAGUAAUAGAGAGAGUCUUUUUCUAGUUAGACUUCUAUCAAUGGAAUGAAAGAACCAUCCCUUCCUAUUUCUUUGUUUGUCCUGUCAGAUAGAAAGAAAAUUAGACCCCAAAGAGCCCUUCUUUACUUUACUACUUUAGGGGGGGGGUGAAGGGGGGGUUUACAUAGAACCGAGGCAAAGUGGUUUAUGAUUGAAUCUCAGAGGCAUUCUUAUCAUUUGGUAGAUCCAAGUCCAUGGCCUAUUUCGGGUUCACUCGGAGCUUUGGCAACAACCGUAGGAGGUGUGAUGUACAUGCACUCAUUUCAAGGGGUGCAACACUUCUCAGUUUGGGCCUCAUAUUUCUCCUAUAUACCAUGUUCGUAUGGUGGCGCGAUGUUCUACGUGAAUCCACGUUCGAAGGACAUCAUACCAAAGUCGUACAAUUAGGACCUCGAUAUGGUUUUAUUCUGUUUAUCGUAUCGGAGGUUAUGUUCUUUUUUGCUCUUUUUCGGGCUUCUUCUCAUUCUUCUUUGGCACCUACGGUAGAGAUCGGAGGUAUUUGGCCCCCAAAAGGGAUUGCGGUUUUAGAUCCUUGGGAAAUCCCUUUUCUUAAUACCCUUAUUCCCCUUUCAUCCGGAGCUGCCGUAACUUGGGCUCAUCAUGCUAUACUCGCGGGGAAGGAAAAACGAGCAGUUUACGCUUUAGUAGCUACCGUUUCACUGGCUCUAGUAUUCACAGGCUUUCAAGGAAUGGAAUAUUAUCAAGCACCCUUCACUAUUUCGGAUAGUAUUUAUGGUUCUACCUUUUUCUUAGCAACUGGCUUUCAUGGUUUUCAUGUGAUUAUAGGUACUAUUUUCUCGAUCAUAUGUGGUAUUCGCCAAUAUCUUGGUCAUCUGACCAAGGAGCAUCACGUUGGCUUUGAAGCAGCUGCAUGGUACUGGCAUUUUGUAGACGUGGUUCGGUUAUUCCUAUUUGUCUCUAUCUAUUGGUGGGGAGGUAUAUGAAGGAAGGAAUCAGUGGAUUGAGGAAUGAAAGCUCGAAGACAAAGAGAACCGGGCUUUUCCAAAGAAUUACUGCAGCUUUCCCACUCCCUUUGAUUAUCAUAUACAAAAAGGUCUCUUCCACUUUCCUACCAAAUCUCUCUCUAUUCUGGCACAUAAAUGAAGGGAUCGAAGAGAUUAUGGCAGAUCAUGUUCACCAAGAAAUGACCCGAAAUUGGAUCUUGGUCUAUUUGAGAUUGUUCCUUUUAAUCGUAAUCAAAGAUGUUUUCUUGUCUCUCGUUUCUUUUCUGAAAAAAAAAAAGAACCUAAUGGAUCGAACUCAUAUGCUGUACCUGGUCGUUUAAAUCAGAUCUCUAUUUCGGUACAACGAGAAGGGGUUUACUAUGGUCAGUGCAGUGAGGGUACUUGUAAAUCACUAGGUAGCCAUACAACACUCGUCCCAAGUUUGACUUAGCCCAAGCAAUGCCCAAAGACUCCCAUUUCUUUCUUUCUUGGUCAACAACCAAGCACAUUUCCAACAAGUCUCUCUUCUUUUUUUUUUUUGGGGGGGGGGGGGCAGACAAAUAAAAUGGAAUCUUACUAUUUAUGAAAAACAAUUCAUUUCUACUCACCCCCAGCGAUCUUCACUUUAUGCAAAGUUCCACUUCUUCCUUCCCUUCCAUUAGAUAAUCAAGCUCAGUUUCCAUCUUCUUUUUCUUAAAGAAUAGGAGCGAGACUUUCAUAGUGAAGGGAGAGGCGAAGCCUAGUAACACAGCAUCAUGGUUUAGCCUAGCCCUGACAAGCAGUUCACCGCUUUCACAUGGCAGAACCCAUCACAGCACAGGGAGUCUGGCGCCCCUAUACACUCAUAUCUCGACUUGACAACCAAAAUUGCGGAAAAUGGAAAUUUAUAGAUCGAUGGCGGGGAUGAGCCCAUGUGUACGCCUAACCUUCGGCCACCCCUCAAUGGCACUAAUAAGCACACAAGACACAUAGGUAUAGGGAUGCCUGUUUUACUAGGCGCGAUAGAAUACUCAACCAAGCAUUCAGCUCGAUGGAUUACUCCCGCACCAGAUAGUUCUCAGCCGCAAGGUUGCCGGCAUGCCCCAAUGAGAAGGUACUCUCAAAUCGAAUAUCUCGUGGCACCACAUCUUUAGACAAAGGGCAGGUUUAGCUAUAGCCCAGUCAACUGUUGGAGGCAAAGACAAAGAAAAAACGGAAAAGCCGAGCACACUGCAUCUCCAGUGAACCAUCCUACUAAGGUUUCACGAAGUCAACACAUACGUUCACAGCUAGGGACCAUGUUCAGUCCAUGCCAAUAAAAAACAACAGGAGCUCGCGGUCUAUCAGCACUUGAAGGGCUACACAAUGGAGAUCGGAUCGGCCUCGUAUGGAGCGCUUUUUGGCUCCCCGAAGACCUUCCACGUGACCGGCAAGCUCUUAUUCCAAUUUCUAUAGGACCUAGCUACAACUCUUUAUCUGUUGUCCGUUCCUCUCGCUCAAACAAGGUUUCACGGAGUCGAGUUCAAGUAGCAUCUUUAUAUGUAUCGGAUCAUUUGUGGAUUGAAACUCUCUUUUCUUUCAGCUUUCCCUUUCCAUUGGACCAGGUCAAGGCUGCUGUAAGCAGUUCUGAUCUCAAGCACCUAUCACGGUUUUCGAGUAGCUCUGAUCCACCGGAGCAGUUACAAUUGCUUCAGCUGGAGCUGCGACAAUUGCUUCAGCUGGAGCUGCGACAAUUGCUUUACUUUAGCGGGCGACAAGCGUAGCUGUUCUGAAGUUAUAGUUAGAAAGAGGGGUUGGUAAUCUAAUCCCUCUUAGUGGUCUUAUAGUAGAGUGAGUGAUCCUCGGGUAGUCAUCUAUGAGUUGAAGCAGGAACAAAGAAUCAAUAUAAGGUGAAAGAACCUUCUUUCAUUUGAAUUUCCUGUUUAACUAGUCAGCCUCUAACUUAACUCUUGAAUCUGCGGGCUUGGAAACCUACUUUCUGAAGCGGGCCCUACCACGUAUACAGUCUGCGGAACCACGCCUAGCUGCGGUGUCAAGCUCAUAUCCUCUGCCUCUUUCUUGAAAAGAAACUAUGCCUGAUAAGGCGAAUAAAGACUCAUCUUCUUUCAUAUCAUAUGUGUCAGAAGCAUCAAAUGAUGUUUUAUGAGGUGGGGGAAUCCUAAUCCAAUGCCCUAAGCUCGCGGUGACAGAAUGCUGUUAUGUCCCUGGAGAGUGCUCCCCCAGGAGUUAUGUGCCCGGAGUUCUGUCCCUAGCCCUUUCACCUUCCACGGAACCAGAAGCAUGAAAGAUGGGAUCUAGCAUUUUCGAAGAAAGUCUUUCUCUUUAUUGAUGUCGAACUUCAUCUGCCUUAUAGCGAUGAAAAGAUAUUCCCUUAGUCUUUGCCCAGCUCUUCUUCCAGGGAAACAGUCUUUGAUAGCGCUCUUGCCCGACUUUUCGUGAUUUGUGGCCUUAAGAGAAUCAGGAGAUAUUAAAUAGUUUGGGUCGAGCAUCUAAUCUUAUUAAGAGUUGUCCUUUCAGACCCUAUUCUCCGAAUGGACAAAGAGCAGGAAGUAAAGCACCCGCCUCUAGGAGGGAAGGGGUUAGAGUGUGCCUGAUUCAUAUGCAGUUUCCUCUCUGAAAGAUGCCCAAUCAAGAAGGAUGUGCCACCAUGCCCGAUGGGCAAGAAGCUAGGGCAGUUAAGGAGGGUUAUAUUGGGUGAUCGUAUCCGAACUUGAAAGACUUUCCGCGGAAUCAGAAUCAGAUUGGAUUGAAGGUAAGGACGGCGAAGCUGGAAUUCUAUGGUUUCGAUUCUUCCUAAGUGAUUAGGUCACUCCUCUUCUCUCCGAUUGGGGAAGUCUCCAAUUCCCUUACUUCGAUUUCCAAUGACUCAGUAUAAUGCUCAUUUGACUGUCGCGUAGGUAAAGUGUUUACUGGUCCGCCGGGUGAGACCUCUUGUACUCCUUCUUUCGCUGAUUAAGAGCCGGAUGAGAAUCCUCUCAAAUCCUCGAAUGAGAACUUCCCUUAAGGAAGGAAUGAAUCUAGGGAAGAAGUCGCAAGGAUAGUUCCAUUUCUCCGCUAGCCGGGGACAUGACUUCCAGCUGAUAAACCUGCUCUUGCUCCAUUCGCUGAAUCUGGAGAUUUAUACUUGUUAGAAACUGUAUUCUUACUCUUCUUUGUAUUUCCGGGGGUCUUUCGCAAACUAAGGCAAAUAAAGAGUCUUAUUCUCCCUUUCAGUCAGCCGGAAGUAAGAAGAUUGCUGCUCUAGCCCUAGCUGCUCUACGCGGAUACGAUCUUUCCUUACUGAACAGCUUCCCCAGAUCAUGUUACAAUUAGAGUUGCGGAGAUAGAGAAGGCUCAUUCUCCUUUAAUAGCAAAGGCCUUUUCACGAGCUGGGCUCGAACCUGCGCUUCCCUGUCUAGGAGUGCAUUCCGGAAAUAUAGUUGGAGAUGAGUCUGUCGACCAGUGCUUGAACUAAAAUUGUUUCAAAAGAGAAAGGGAAUGAGUCUGAAAAGACAGGUCGAGAAGGGUUGCGAGCUCAAACGAAUAGAGUUCAAGCCGAAAGUGUUUCAAAAUAGAAAGAGAAAGGCUGGAACGAAGUAGCUCGCCUAAAAGGAGGGGAACGAAGCACUCGGCUGAGAUUGUUGGAAAAGAGAGGCAGGGCCCGAGGCACUUGCUAACGAGCAGGCGGGACAAGACUGACUUGAAAAGACGCUCUACUUGAAAGGCAAUGGCUUUGAGGGUACUAACUGUGAUAUAUGGGUAAGGAAAAAAAAGAGUAGCUCAGGCUCUCGAGGCAUACUAGCGGGGCUUGACUAGAAUCGUAGAAAGAAGCUGGGGAGAAAGAUCCAAGUGCAAGCAUUGAGUCAAACUGAUUCAGGUAUAGCAAGAUAGUUCUUGUCUCCUUCUUCUACCUACUUUCCUUUAUAGCACUUCUAGCCUUGAAAAGAUAAUCUUUCUUAGUUGUCCACUACCUCACUCUUUUUUUUUCCUAUCUCAAGGGAGUUCAGUUCCCCGAGGAUGAACAAGCAAGACUACAAGGCUACUUCCCCGCCUAUAAAUGUCGCAUCAUAGUAUGCUUGCCGCAGCAUAAGAUGCCUAUCGCAUGAUAAGAUGGAUGGCGGAAGCCCAUACGUACCAAUUCGUCUCUUUAAAAGAUGCGGGUCUAUGAGACUGUAUGGCGACGGUAUGGUGUAAUUGCGGGUAUGGCCUGGUGGCAGGCGUUAAGGAUACCCGGUGCUAGGGUAUUGAUGCAAGGAUGCAAAAAUGACUCCAUGUGUUUUUUUAUUAACAUAAUAUUCUACAUUACAAAUAUAUCCUAACACCCGGGAUGGUGCUACCCUUCUUCCCUAUCCGGAAACUAAUCCAAUGAAAGCGCAGAAAAGCCCAGAGACUGUACUGAGCCAUUCGGUGACUUUCGCGGUCGCCCUCACUAAACCAACUUGAAUCUGAACUACUAUUUGCGCUCACCUCACCGGAACCUAAAUUUGUAUUCACCUCUGCUACAUCACCUGAACCACUAGUAGUAGUACGAUACUUAUGGUUCUGAAAGAUCCAAGCCCUUCCAAAACCGUAUUAGUACAUAUUUUACCUCCUCCCGCAUAGGCGCAUCGUCGUAGAGGCGGUCAACCCAUUUUUUAUUUAGACUAUCAAUCAUGUCGUUAUCUCUCUUGAUCAUGGUAAAAAUUUGAACCCUUUAACGAGUCGAGUAGAAAUCAAACCUGGGAUAUCGAAUCCCUGGUAUUUUACAUUAAAGUUUACCAGCGAUAGGUAGCACACCCAGUUCGCGGGUCUCUCAACCCGGCGGACCCAUCGUUUAUACACCUGCUAUGAGAGGUAAUCGUGCCGCCCAGGACUCGAAUACAUGCAGCAGGUGAACGGCAUAAACGGGAUUUCUCAAUGAUGCCUUCACCCCGACCGGAGUCCCUUAGAUAUGAUGCAAAAGGGCUCUUGGUCUAUCCUUGAUCAGAGAUUUCUCUAUGAAAAAUAUGAAUCGAAGUUUGAAGAAGGGGAGGGAGAAGGAGCCCUUGACCCGCAGGAGGAUUUAUUCAAUCACAUAGUUUGGGCUCCUAGAAUAUGGCGCCCUUGGGGCUUUCUAUUUGAUUGUAUCGAAAG